rnacentral:tRNA from 1 species
CGGGAUGUAGCGCAGAGGUAGCGCACUUGCUUGGGGUGCAAGAGGUCGUGGGUUCAAGUCCCGCCAUUCCGA